CGCGUAGGUGGUCUGAUAAGGGUGUGGUGAAAGCCCGGGGCUCAACCCCGGGUCGGCCGUGCCGACUGUUAGACUAGAGUACUGUAGGGGCAGGCGGAAUUCCGGGUGUAGCGGUGGAAUGCGUAGAGAUCCGGAGGAAGACCGGUGGCGAAGGCGGCCUGCUGGGCAGUUACUGACACUGAGGCGCGACAGCGUGGGGAGCAAACA
rnacentral:rRNA from 1 species